UUUAUUAGUGUAUCACACUAUAAGAACUAAGCCGGCGGUGAUACUGAAAUAAAUCCGAAUUGUUUUACUUAUGGAUGGCAUAGUGGGUAAUUAUGCCAACUUCGAGGGCUAUUUCUAUGACGGACGACCAGAAACACUAUUUGCUUUAUUAGUAAAAAAAAUAAAAAAUAAAAAUAAAAAUAAAAAUAAAAUAAAAUAAAAUAAAAUAAAUAUAAAUAUAAAUAUAAAUAUAAAUAUAGAUAAAGAUUAGGUAAAGAUAAAGAUUAGCAAGCCGUGCGUUGCAACAGGAGAAAAGAAAAAUAUCAUAAUUCCCAAUGGCCAUGACCAGUGAUACACUAUCACUCUCAUUUUUGUGAAAUUGUGAACAAUUUUGUAAAAAUCAUAAACAAUUUUUAAAAAAUCAUGAACAUACUUUUAAACUCAUUAACAUUUUUCAAAUUCAUGAACAAUUUUACAGAUUUUCGAACAUUUUCUAAAAUCAUGAACAUUUUAUACUGUUUGCGAUCAUUUUUUUAUUUUGAACAUUUUUAAAAUUAUUUUUCUUGAAUAGGCGAACAUUUUAGAAUCGAUUUUGGAAAUUGUUUUGGUGGGACAAUUUUUUAAAUUCACGAAUUUUGUUUGAUUUAACGAACCUUUUUUUGAAAUCCAUGAUCUUUUUUGAAUCAACGAACAAUUUAUGAAUCAAUAGACUAUUUUGUGAGUCACGAAGACUUUUUGAAUUUUUAGGAUAAUUUUCAAUUCAUGAACAUUUUUCAGUUGGUGAAGUUUUGUUCAAUUUCAUUAACAUUUUUUACACACAAACUUAAAAAAAAUCUUGAACUUUUUUUACCUGUUUUUAAAUUGAGAAUAUUAUUUGAAUAUGCAAACAUUUUUAAAAAAAUGCAAAUAUUUUCUGAAUACACAAAUAUUUAUGAAUUAUUUAACAUUUUAUUUCAGAAUUCUUAUUUUAUAUAUUUUCGGAACUUUUUUGAAGUCCCAAAUUAUUUAAAGUAGAGAAAAAGAUAAGGAACGAAAUUUAAAAAUCAUGCCGCCCGGAUAAAGGGCCGGGCUAAACAGGCCGCCCGGAUAUUGCUUUCAGAAUUCACCUGGCGUGCAUAGCGCAGUAUAGAAAAGUUCCUACUGUAUGGGCCGGCCCAAGUGAAGAUUCCCCUGUGGGAUUUUUUUUAUCACUUAUAGGUGGCAUUGCUUGGUAAUAUUUUUAUAACUUUGGAGGCAAUAUCGAUGACGUACCACCAAAAGCAAUAGCCCCUUGUAUAGAUUAUAAGAUUAUUAUUAUUAUUAUUAUUAUUACUAGCAAACAUGCCCGUGCGUUGCAACGGGAGAGAAAAAAUUUACACGCUAUCCAAAUAAGUUUGAAUUAAUACCCUGACAUACGAGCGUCAUCUAUUUUAACAUAAUGACUCGCCAUGUUGCAAACAUGUUUUAUAAUUUGCGAACAAUUAUAAAAUUACUAAUAUUUUUUAAACAGCAACAAUAGGCUAGAGGUGAAACCCAUAAAAUCUCGCGACCAACUCAUGACUCUGGCACAUGGAUAGCAAGCUUUCACGCACCCCUGUCCAUAGCUAGUUCUUUGGUGAUACUCCAAUCCUUCAGGUCUUUUUUAACAGACUCCUCUCAUGUUAAAUUCGGUCUAUCCCGACCUCUCUUAACAUUAAAACCACUAAUAUUUUUUAAAACUGCGAAAUUUUUAUGAUUUCCCACACCAUUUUUGAAUUCACAAACAUUUUAUGAUUUCUCAAACAUGUUUUUCAAAACUCGCAAUGUUUUGAAAUUUGAAAAUCUCGAAUUAAUUUAAAGAAGAAAAAAAGAAAUGAGAAAAGAAAAGAAAAGACAAAAGACGAAAUGAAAAAAAGGGGAGUCAUGCCCUGCGGGCCGGCCCGUGAACGCGCACUGGGGGGAGGUGCGUCACAAAAAGAGGGGGGAAAUCUGCAGAACCUGGGGAUAAAAAAUUACACUCUAGCCAAAUAAGUAUGACUCAAUACCUUGACAUAUGAGUGUUCAAAAAAAACUUGACAUAUGAGCGUCCUCUAUUUUGACACAGUGACUCACCAUGUUGCCACUUAUCUUUCUUCCCACCCUCGCUAAUGAUGGAUGUGAUGUCCACUGAUCGCAAUGUAGUCGACUUGGUAAAUCCCAAGGCAAUGAGCUUGCCACUGCACGAUACACUUUAAAAACAAAUCUCAUCGACCACAAACUUGCAAUUUUUUUUGAGUUUUUUCAAUAUUUUCUAAAAUCUCAUGGACAUUUUUGUCAGAUUCACGAAUGUUUUGAAUACACGAUUAUUUUUUCAAAAAUCAUGUACAUGGUUUUAUUUCCCGACAUUUUUUUCCAAAUUGUGCUUUUUUUUUAAUAAUUUGCGAACACUUUUGAAAAAUCAAUUAUAUUUUUGAAACUGCAAUAAUUUUAUGAUUUCCCACACAUUUUUAAAAUCACAAACAUUUUAUGAUUUCUCAAACAUGUUUUUAAAAAUUCGCAAUCUUUUGAAAUUUGGAAAUCUCAAAUUAAUUUAAAUAAGGAAAAAAAGAAAUGAGAAAAAAAAGCAGAAGACGAAAUGCAAAAAAAAAAAGAAAAAAAAAGAGGCGUCACGCCCUGCGGGCCGGCCCACUUAACGCGCACUGGGAGGGUAGGGAGGUGCCUGACAAAAAAGGUCGAAGAAAUAUGCGGUAGGGGAUCGAACCCUGGUGUGCAAGGUAGAAUAGAGAGGCUUUAGCCACUGCGCUGUCUCCAUGCAUCUCAUUUAUGUUCAGCAUCAUCAUCUUAAAUAAGGGAGCGUGGCGGUGAUAUUUAACUUACUGGUGGCAUCGGUGGGUAAAUUUUGUCAACUUAUGGGGUAAAUUAAAUGACGUACCACCAGAAGCAGUAGGUGCUUUAUAUAUAAUAUAUAUAUAUGUAAAGAUUAUUAUUAUUAUUAUUAUUGAUUUUUGUCCUAAAAACAAAGUUCUCCUGAACCUAUUAGUAAUCUCUACUCCUAAUGUCUCAGUUGGUAGGUCGCGUUCCGGAUUUUAUUUUCGUCCCACCAUUUUUGUCCGAAUUUUUUUCGCUGGUUUUUUUUCGUCACAUCCCCGCUGCCACGCCUUCGUCCACCGGUUUACGAAAGAAAAAAAAUAGCCCAGCCACCCCGCAGUCCCGCACGACCUUUGCCUCCUCGAUCCCACCUCGACAUCCAUCUCGCCGCCACCUCCUGCUCCGCCCCGCCGUGCGCCGCCCGCCGCCACCGUGCCUGCGCCGCCGUCCCCCGUAUCGACUCCGCUGUCCGAAUCCCGCCGCCACCGCGCCUGCACCGCCGUCCCCAGUAUCCACGCCAGCCUCCAAGAAGCACUGGACGUCGUCCCCCUUCUUCCCCUUCUCCACGCCCAGCCCCAGCCCGGCGCACCACCUCUUCUCCUCCUCCUCCGUGGCCUCCCCCAGGGCCUCCUCCAAGUCCCCCGCCCCGGCGGGCCCCAAGUCCCCGGCGCCCGCCACCCCGGCCAGGCGCCUCCUGCGCCUGCCCUUCCCGCCGCCCUCGCCCUCCAAGCACAUCCGCCAGGCGCUCGCGAGGAGGCACGUCUCGCCGCGCCCGGCGAUCCCCGAGGAGGACGGCGACGGCAGAAGGGGCCUCGACAAGGGCUUCGGCUUCAACAAGGGCUUCGCCGCCAAGUACGACCUCGGGGACGAGGUCGGGAGGGGCCACUUCGGCUACACCUGCGCCGCCAAGAUCAGGAAGGGGGCGCGCAAGGGGGACGCCGUCGCCGUCAAGCUCAUCCCCAAGGCCAAGGUGAUGACCUGCCCGCAACCUCUGCAAACCCUUGAGUUUGGAUCCCUUCACUGGUUUUUCGGAAAAUUCAUGCCGCGGGAGUUUAUAGGCGAUCUUAGAUUUGUGAAAAAGAUCAACUAUAUCUGUGGGUCUAUGACGCAUGUUUGAAGGAGCCUGACAAGCCCAUCGUCGCGCCGCCGACCUGCUGAAAUUCGAGGUCGGCACCCGUGCGAACUCAGGUAACCUUGGUCGUGCUUGACAGGUAUUGUCACAUCAUCUCAGUUUCUUCAUUUUAUCAAAAAAAAUCUCAGUUUCUUCAGAUUGACAUGGUCAGCCAUGUACUAAAAAUGUGAUGUUUCUGUAGUUAGACUUUUAAAUAGCAAGUGGGGUAUGUGUGUGUUGCAUCUGAUGUGCGUGAGCUCAACCUGGUGACCUCCUGGGAGAAGAAAAAAGGAGCCACAACAGCCCUGGCGAGCUCGAGAUGACGAUGGUGCCACAGGUGGUGUGGGAGAGGAGAUGGUCUCCAUCCAAGGUCCGAGGACCAGCCAUGACGUCGAGCUGCUGCAGCUUGGAGUCAGGAGGGUAUUCGCACCCUGGUGUGUCCCAGUACGUGCUUUGGAAGAGACACGCAUCAAUCUCAACAGACCCUGAUGCGUCCACAUUAUUUGUUUCUGAAACAAAUAGCAGCUCUCCGAUGUAGUAAGGAGAAACCAAGAAUGACAGAGCACCCUCGUGUCAAACUCAACACACCCUGGCAUUUCUCCAUUGUUUGAUUCAGAAACAGGCAGAAACAACUGCUAUAUAUCUCUGAAUUUAUUUAAGGUUGUUUCUCUUAUUUCUAUUCUGAUGUGCACGCAUCUUCCCUUGCUAUCUUCCAUACACAUAUGUGCUACAACCAUGCCAUUUUGUCCUAUAAAUGCGCUACAGAUAUGUGCAACAAAGUAGUCUUCAUGUGCGAAGAAGCAAAGGGCUUUUAUGCGGCUAUGCCAUCAUGCUACAUGUUAGUUGGAAGUCCAAUCUCGGCUUGAUUACCGCUCUUUAAGCAAAAUUAUUAGUAACAGAUCUUAUCCUAGAUUAUUUUUGCUUGAACGAUUUUAGAAGCACAGCUAUCAGUAUGUGCACUUAAUAAAAUGCAAGUCCGAAUGCAGAUGCUGAAAAAAUAUUUUGGAAAUUAUACAUUAUUCAGUCUCCCAGUUUGUGAUUUGCUUUUUGUUUAUGUUGUCCAGAAAUGUACAAAGGACUGACAUGUGUCAUCUAUAGCAUGUCCCCUUUGUCUGAAUGUUCAAGUAGAAGAGUUUCAUCUCAUUUGGCAAGGAGCACUGCAAUAAUACAUGCAACUCUUCACAGCUACUAACAUGAAGUUGCACUCAGGCUCUCGCAUGGACUAAAGAGUUAUUGUCGGUAUGUAUCACUGUUUAAUUUUUACAGUCUAUAGGUUUAUUUAUAUGGCAAGUAUUGAUCUCAAGGACAACAUUGUUGUAACUACUGUCACCCAUUCAAAAAUUUCUUUAGAGGAACUACAACAUGUAUUUUGCUGACUCGAACAUUGAAAUAAUGAGUACAAAAGGUUCAGGGCAUAUGCGAAUAAUUGAAGUUUUAUAUUUGCGGACAAGGGAGAAACGCCUAAAUUAGAAGGCAGAGUAGAAUUUUAUACUCUGUUGUUGCAGUGUGGCUUUUGGGAAUCCUUAGCACGAUUAUCCCGGAGGUGAAGCUUAGACACCACCGUGGAUUUGUCUGGCUAUGAAUCAUGGUCAUGAAAUACAUUCAUGUUGUUCCCUUUCCAGAUGCUUUAGAACAGACAAGCGAUGAUGCUGGAAUAAGAGGUUCUCGAUUCCCUUUUAUGUCAUAGUUCAUACUACAACACACAUAUACCGCAGCCUCUUAAAUUAUAAAAUUAUUGUCUCUUAGAUUAUAAAAUUUCAUGAUAUCAAAUUGUAUGUACUGCAAAUUUUUCUCCUUUUUACUGCCUGCUUGAUUGUAUAUAUAGAAUAACUAGAUAAUGAUGCUCCAUGCAUUACUAGAGCUGUUGAUAGCUUGUCCACCUAGAUUAUUUUACACUCUCUUCUUAGGAGAAUUUAGCUUAGAUAUUUAGGUGCAACGCAUGUACUGCGAAGCGAGAUAUUUAGUUUGUUUUUCUUGGGUAAACCAAACUCUUGACAUUCCAAAACCUCUACUACUAAAGUAUAAUUUGAUUACUUAACUUCAUGCUUUGACCAUAAAUCUUUGGAAAAAAAUUAAUUGAUGGUUAAAAGUCAUGUGCUGCUGCAUUGGACUAUGAGCUUGAAAAAAGAGUACCUACCUAAUACCUACAGAGGUGGCUAAUCCUUCCAGUGACCUAUAUAUGUAAGUAUGUAAGUUAGGCUCAAUUCCAAGUUAGCCUAUAUUAUUUGUGUCAAUUUAGUUUAUCCUGUUACCACUUGCAAAUAUAUUUUAAUAUAAUAUAACUCCUAUUGUUGUCUUCAAUAGAGAGGGAAUAAAUCUCUAACGAAUAUUUUGGUACAUUCAUGCUACCUAUCUUUUGCAUUUAAAAUCGAACAUGCAAUAGGCAGCCAUAGCAAAUCUAUAUACUGCAUAAACCUUUACUUGAAAGGAUUAAAUCACAUAAAUUGUCCCGUCCAUUAUAAUUGAUGAUGUCUAUACAAUCAACCUAGCAAACAAAUAUUACAGCAAACAAAUAUUAGGCCAAAUGAUCACACACAGAACCAACAAAAACCUUAGUUCCAUAUGAAGCUGCCUACCAGAAUCCAUAACAUACAUCGACUAAUAAAGCUCCAGCCUGCUUCAGUUUAAUAGUAGAGCGCGUUCAGGAAUCAAAAUCAUGCAAAUUGGUUAUUUAUUAUAGUUGGAAAAGAACUACUGUUAAAGCAGAGUCUGCGGUUAAGAAGUUCAUAAGUCUUAGCCGCUUUUUUGGCGUAUUGAAUGUGCAGGAAUUGAUACAAUAAAGUUUCAAUAAGAUGUCAUCAUUAUAUUCAUUGUCAAUUUAGCUGAACAUUUUUUAGCAAAAAUUCUACGAAACUUGUAAGGUAUCGUGUUGAAAAUCUGUGAGGAAUAGUUAAUGACCCUUUAACCCAAUACACUUUGAUCAUUGAUCAAUUUCUAUGUGUCAGUUGUCCUGUGACAUGGAUCACUUGUUCCUCAAACUUCCCUGGCUGAAGGAGAAACUGGAGAAGUACAUUGACGAGGCCUCGGCGACUAGAUCAUGGAGCCCAAACGCGCUUCGCACCACCACGGAUGCUUGAUUGAAAGAAGGGUUGGAGCCUCGCUGCAUCACCAGGGAUUUGAAAUGGGACGUCCCUGUCCCACACGAGAAGUACAAGGAUAAGGUUUGCCAUCUGAGCACAUAGACAUUCAUUGUGAAAAUUUAUCUCUCUCCAUGUUGUAUUAAUGUUUGUCCAUGUGAUGAACCGUUCCCAAUUAGCUUGGCCAUAUGCAUUAGUCAUGAUUUGCUGCUGAUUCUUUUUGGUUCAUUAUGUAUCUUUGACUAUCCAACUCCAUGGACAUGUUUUUAUUUUCCUGUUCUGUCUUGAGAGCACACAUGUGGAGUUGUGCAGGGCAUGUUGAGCUGUACAGGGAGUAUAUAUCUAUUGAGUUCUGCAGUUAUUUUCAAUUUCGAUGGUGGAAACGAUUUAAGGAUAAGUUGGCGGAAUGCCUCGAAGAUGUUUUAUAAGCUUUAAAAAUAGUGGAUGGUUCGAGGAUCCUGUGGCAUGCUCUGAUUUGUUUCAGAGUUCGGAUGUUUCGAUGAUGUGCAUCAUGUGCUUCCGAGGCAGCAGAAGGUUGUACACAUAUCAACGUCUAUGGGUGAAGAUAUCUACCAUAUCUAGAACCUGUUUGAUAUGCAGAUUAGUCAAGCUUUUGCAGAGCAGUCCUCAUAAGCUGCAAGAUACAUGCAUGGUUCGUAUGGUUCAUUACUCAUAACUAAUCUAUAUGUCAAAACUUGGACAACUAUUUAGCCCUUGAAUUAUCUUAUAAAUUGACAAUGAUGAUGUUUUCAUGCAGUCUGCAAUUCUGGUUUUGUAGCAGCUGCUAUAGAACAUGAUUUUAUCCCAUAUACAAAGAAGGUUCUUGAAAUGAGGAAAGGCUUUAUUGUGCUUGGCAAGGAUGAUGAUUUUUGUGCAUGAGCUAGGACUAGCAACAGCAGUUGGCAAAACCAGGAUGGAAGUCAUAUUGCCUCCUUUUAUUGAAGCUUCUAUUUCAGUGAGUCCUAAUUCCACUACUUCAGAGUUCAGACAACCAAAAGGCUUUAGCGCAAUUAUUUAUGCUCUUCAUAUUUGCAGGGUUUUGGAUUGGAUUAUAGCGAGCUAAUGUAGUACAUUCAUAUAUUGGUCACUUGUGGAUUGCAGAUUUAAGAAUAUGAAUUCUAUUGAGAUUGAGGCAGCCUAAUAAGUGGAAGAAAAUAUUAGAAAUUGCAUGGCAGCCAGAGUGAGGUAUGUUUUUCAUGUCCAACUUUCAAUUUAGUAUGUUCUCAUUUUGAUUGUAGUUGGUAAUUGUACGGCCAUAUAGUCAUAUCUCUACUAUUAAAGGGGAUUAGGUAUGCCGUUUCUGUUGGGUUUCGUAGUAAUUUCAAAAAAAAUUCCUACGCACACGCAAGAUCAUGUGAUGCAUAGCAACGAGAGGGGAUAGUGUUUUCUACAUACCCAACGCAGACCGACUGCGAAAGCGCUGACACAACGUAGAGGAAGUAGUCGUACGUCUUCACGAUCCAACCGAUCAAGCACCAAAACUACGACACCUCCGAGUUCGAGCACACGUUCAGCUCGAUGACGAUCCCCGGACUCCGAUCCAGCAAAGUGUCGGGGAAGAGUUCCGUCAGCACGACGGCGUGGUGACGAUCUUGAUGCACUACAGUAGCAGGGCUUCGCCUAAACUCCGCUACAGUAUUAUCGAGGACUAUGGUGGCAGGGGGCACCGCACACGGCUAAGGAAUAGAUCACGUGGAUCAACUUGUGUGUUUCUGGGGUGCCUCUGCCUCAGUAUAUAAAGGACUAGAGGGGGGAGGCUGGCCGGCCAUAGGAGGCGCGCCAGGAGAGUCCUACUCCCUCUGGGAGUAGGAUUCCCCCCCCCCAAUCCUAGUUGGAAUAGGACUCCUUGAGGGGGGAAAGAAAGAGAGGGGGGCCGGCCACCUCUCCUAGUCCUAAUAGGACUAGGGGAAGGGGGGAGGCGCGCGGCCACCUUGGGCUGCCCCUUUCUCCUUUCCACUAAGGCCCAUCAAGGCCCAUAUGGUUCCCGGGGGGUUCCGGUAACCUCCCGGUACUCCGGUAAAAUCCCGAUUUCACCCGGAACACUUCCGAUAUCCAAACAUAGGCUUCCAAUAUAUCAAUCUUUAUGUCUCGACCAUUUCGAGACUCCUUGUCAUGUCCGUGAUCACAUCCGGGAUUCCGAACAACCUUCGGUAUAUCAAAAUGCAUAAACUCAUAAUAUAACUGUCAUCGAAACCUUAAGCGUGCGGACCCUACAGGUUCGAGAACAAUGUUGACAUGACCGAGACACGUCUCCGGUCAAUAACCAAUAACGGGACCUGGAUGCCCAUAUUGGCUCCUACAUAUUCUACGAAGAUCUUUAUCGGUCAGACCGCAUAACAACAUACGUUGUUCCCUUUGUCAUCGGUAUGUUACUUGCCCGAGAUUCGAUCGUCGGUAUUCCAAUACCUAGUUCAAUCUCGUUACCGGCAAGUCUCUUUACUCGUUCUGUAAUACAUCAUCCCGCAACUAACUCAUCUAGUUGCAAUGCUUGUAAGGCUUAAGUGAUGUGCAUUACCGAGAGGGCCCAGAGAUACCUCUCCGACAAUCGGAGUGACAAAUCCUAAUCUCGAAAUACGCCAACCCAACAUCUACCUUUGGAGACACCUGUAAUGCUCCUUUAUAAUCACCCAGUUACGUUGUGACGUUUGGUAGCAACCAAAGUGUUCCUCCGGGAAACGGGAGUUGCAUAAUCUCAUAGUCAUAGGAACAUGUAUAAGUCAUGAAGAAAGCAAUAGCAACACACUAAACGAUCGGGUGCUAAGCUAAUGGAAUGGGUCAUGUCAAUCAGAUCAUUCAACUAAUGAUGUGACCUCAUUAAUCAAAUAACAACUCUUUGUUCAUGGUUAGGAAACAUAACCAUCUUUGAUUAACGAGCUAGUCAAGUAGAGGCAUACUAGUGACACUCUGUUUGUCUAUGUAUUCACACAUGUAUUAUGUUUCCGGUUAAUACAAUUCUAGCAUGAAUAAUAAACAUUUAUCAUGAUUAUAAGGAAAUAUAUAAUAACUUUAUUAUUGCCUCUAGGGCAUAUUUCCUUCAGUCUCCCACUUGCACUAGAGUCAAUAAUCUAGAUUACACUGUAAUGAUUCUAACACCCAUGGAGCCUUGGUGCUGAUCAUGUUUUGCUCGUGGAAGAGGCUUAGUCAAUGGGUCUGCAACAUUCAGAUCUGUAUGUAUCUUGCAAAUCUCUAUGUCUCCCAUCUGGACUAGAUCCCGGAUGGAAUUGAAGUGUCUCUUGAUGUGCUUGGUCCUCUUGUGAAAUCUGGAUUCCUUUGCCAAGGCAAUUGCACCAGUAUUGUCACAAAAGAUUUUCAUUGGACCCGAUGCACUAGGUAUGACACCUAGAUCGGAUAUGAACUCCUUCAUCCAGACUCCUUCGUUUGCUGCUUCCGAAGCAGCUAUGUACUCCGCUUCACAUGUAGAUCCUGCUACGACGCUUUGUUUAGAACUGCACCAACUGACAGCUCCACCGUUUAAUGUAAACACGUAUCCGGUUUGCGAUUUAGAAUCGUCUGGAUUAGUGUCAAAGCUUGCAUCAACGUAACCUUUUACGACGAGCUCUUUGUCACCUCCAUAUACGAGAAGCAUAUCCUUAGUCCUUUUUAGGUAUUUCAGGAUGUUCUUGACCGCUGUCCAGUGAUCCACUCCUGGAUUACUUUGGUACCUCCCUGCUAGACUUAUAGCAAGGCACACAUCAGGUCUGGUACACAGCAUUGCAUACAUGAUAGAUCCUAUUGCUGAUGCAUAGGGAACAUCUUUCAUAUUCUCUCUAUCUUCUGCAGUGGUCGGGCAUUGAGUCUUACUCAAUUUCACACCUUGUAACACAGGCAAGAAUCCUUUCUUUGCUUGAUCCAUUUUGAACUUCUUCAAAAUUUUGUCAAGGUAUGUUGUUUGUAAAAGUCCAAUUAAGCGUCUUGAUCUAUCUUUAUAGAUCUUAAUGCCUAAUAUGUAAGCAGCUUCACCGAGGUCUUUCAUUGAAAAACUCUUAUUCAAGUAUCCUUUCAUGCUAUCCAGAAAUUCUAUAUCAUUUCCAAUCAACAAUAUGUCAUCCACAUAUAAUAUCAGAAAUGCUAUAGAGCUCCCACUCACUUUCUUGUAAAUACAGACUUCUCCAAAAGUCUGUAUAAAACCAAAUGCUUUGAUCACACUAUCAAAACGUUUAUUCCAACUCCGAGAGGCUUGCACCAGUCCAUAAAUGGAUCGUUGGAGCUUGCACACUUUGUUAGCUCCCUUUGGAUCGACAAAACCUUCUGGUUGCAUCAUAUACAACUCUUCUUCCAGAUAUCCAUUCAGGAAUGCAGUUUUGACAUCCAUCUGCCAAAUUUCAUAAUCAUAAAAUGCGGCAAUUGCUAACAUGAUUCGAACAGACUUAAGCAUCGCUACGGGUGAGAGGGUCUCAUCGUAGUCAAUCCCUUGAACUUGCCAAAAACCUUUCGCGACAAGUCGAGCUUUGUAGACAGUAACAUUACCGUUAGCGUCAGUCUUCUUCUUGAAGAUCCAUUUAUUCUCAAUUGCUUGCCGAUCAUCGGGCAAGUCAACCAAAGUCCAUACUUUGUUCUCAUACAUGGAUCCCAUCUUAGAUUUCAUGGCUUCAAGCCACUUUGCGGAAUCUGGGCUCACCAUCGCUUCUUCAUAGUUCGUAGGUUCAUCAUGAUCUAGUAGCAUGACUUCCAGAACGGGAUUACCGUACCACUCUGGUGCGGAUCUUACUCUGGUUGAUCUACGAGGUUUAGUAGUAUAUUGUUCUGAAGUUUCAUGAUCAUCAUCAUUAGCUUCCUCACUAACUGGUGUAGGUGUCAUAGAAACAGUUUUCUGUGAUGCACUACUUUCCAAUAAGGGAGAAGGUACAGUUACCUCGUCAAGUUCUACUUUCCUCCCACUCACUUCUUUCGAGAGAAACUUCUUCUCCAGAAAGUUUCCGAAUUUAGCAACAAAAGUCUUGCCUUCGGAUCUGUGAUAGAAGGUGUAUCCAAUAGUUUCCUUUGGAUAUCCUAUGAAGACAUAUUUCUCCAAUUUGGGUUCGAGCUUAUCAGGUUGAAGCUUUUUCACAUAAGCAUCGCAGCCCCAAACUUUUAGAAACGACAACUUUGGUUUCUUGCCAAACCACAGUUCAUAAGGCGUCGUCUCAACGGAUUUUAAUGGUGCCCUAUUUAACGUGAAUGCGGCCGUCUCUAGAGCGUAUCCUCAAAACGAUAGCGGUAAAUCAGUAAGAGACAUCAUAGACCGCACCAUAUCCAGUAAAGUACGAUUACGACGUUCGGACACACCAUUACGCUGAGGUGUUCCGGGUGGCGUGAGUUGCGAAACUAUUCCACAAUUUUUCAAAUGUACACUAAACUCGUAACUCAAAUAUUCUCCUCCACGAUCAGAUCAUAGAAACUUUAUUUUCUUGUUACGAUGAUUUUCAACUUCACUCUGAAAUUCUUUGAACUUUUCAAAUGUUUCAGACUUAUGUUUCAUUAAGUAGAUAUACCCAUAUCUGCUUAAAUCAUCUGUGAAGGUGAGAAAAUAACGAUAUCCGCCACGAGCCUCAAUAUUCAUUGGACCACAUACAUUUGUAUGUAUGAUUUCCAACAAAUCUGUUGCUCUCUCCAUAGUACCGGAGGACGGCGUUUUGGUCAUCUUGCCUAUGAGGCACGGUUCGCAAGUACCAAGUGAUUCAUAAUCAAGUGGUUCUAAAAGUCCAUCAGAAUGGAGUUUCUUCAUGCGCUUUACACCGAUAUGACCUAAACGGCAGUGCCACAAAUAAGUCGCACUAUCAUUAUCAACUCUGCAUCUUUUGGCUUCAACAUUAUGAAUAUGUGUGUUACUACUAUCGAGAUCCAACAAGAAUAGACCAUCUUCAAGGGUGCAUGACCAUAAAAGAUAUUACUCAUAUAAAUAGAACAACCAUUAUUCUCUGAUUUAAAUGAAUAACCGUCUCGCAUCAAACAAGAUCCAGAUAUAAUGUUCAUGCUUAACACUGGCACCAAAUAACAAUUAUUUAGGUCUAAUACUAAUCCUGAAGGUAGAUGUAGAGGUAGCGUGCCGACUGCGAUCACAUCGACUUUGGAACCGUUUCCCACGCGCAUCGUCACCUCGUCCUUAACCAAUCUUCGCUUGAUCCGUAGUCCCUGUUUCGAGUUGCAAAUAUUAGCAACAAAACCAGUAUCAAAUACCCAGGUGCUACUGCGAGCAUUAGUAAGGUACACAUCAAUAACAUGUAUAUCACAUAUACUUUUGUUCACCUUGCCAUCCUUCUUAUCCGCCAAAUACUUGGGGCAGUUCCGCUUCCAGUGACCAGUCUGCUUGCAAUAGAAGCACUCAGUUUCAGACUUAGGUCCAGGUUUGGGUUUCUUCUCUUGAGUAGCAACUUGCUUGCCGCUCUUUUUGAAGUUCCCCUUCUUCUUCCCUUUGCCCUUUUUCUUGAAACUAGUGGUCUUGUUGACCAUCAACACUUGAUGCUCCUUCUUGAUUUCUACCUCCGCAGCUUUCAGCAUCGCGAAGAGCUCGGGAAUAGUCUUGUUCAUCCCUUGCAUAUUAUAGUUCAUCACGAAGCUCUUGUAGCUUGGUGGUAGUGAUUGAAGAAUAAUGUCAAUGACGCUAUCAUCUGGAAGAUUAACUCUCAAUUGAAUCAAGUGAUUAUUAUACCCAGACAUUUUGAGUAUAUGCUCACUGACAGAACUGUUCUCCUCCAUCUUGCAGCUAUAGAACUUAUUGGAGACUUCAUAUCUCUCAAUCCGGGCAUUUGCUUGAAAUAUUAACUUCAACUCCUGAAACAUCUCAUAUGCUCCAUGACGUUCAAAACGUCGUUGAAGUCCCGAUUCUAAGCCGUAAAGCAUGGCACACUGAACUAUCGAGUAGUCAUCAGCUUUGCUCUGCCAGGCGUUCAUAACAUCCGGCGUUGCUCCUGCAGCAGGCCUGGCACCCAGCGGUGCUUCCAGGACGUAAUUCUUCUGUGCAGCAAUGAGGAUAAUCCUCAAGUUACGGACCCAGUCCGUGUAAUUGCUACCAUCAUCUUUCAACUUUGCUUUCUCAAGGAACGCAUUAAAAUUCAACGGAACAACAGCACGAGCCAUCUAUCUACAAUCAAACAUAAACAAGCAAGAUACUAAUCAGGUACUAAGUUUCAUGAUAAAUUUAAGUUCAAUUUAAUCAAGUUAAUUAAAAAACUCCCACUUAGAUAGACAUCCCUCUAAUCCUCUAAGUGAUUACGUGAUCCAAAUCAACUAAACCAUAACCGAUCAUCACGUGAGAUGGAGUAGUUUUCAAUGGUGAACAUCGUUAUGUUGAUCAUAUCUACUAUAUGAUUCAUGCUCGACCUUUCGGUCUCCGUGUUCCGAGGCCAUAUCUGUAUAUGCUUGGCUCGUCAAGUAUAACCUGAGUAUUCCGCGUGUGCAACUGUUUUGCACCCGUUGUAUUUGAACGUAGAACCUAUCACACCCGAUCAUCAUGUGGUGUCUCAGCACGAAGAACUUUCGCAACGGUGCAUACUCAGGGAGAACACUUCUUGAUAAUUUAGUGAGAGAUCAUCUUAUAAUGCUACCGUCAAUCAAAGCAAGAUAAGAUGCAUAAAAAGGAUAAACAUCACAUGCAAUCAAUAUAAGUGAUAUGAUAUGGCCAUCAUCAUCUUGUGCUUGUGAUCUCCAUCUCCGAAGCACCGUCGUGACCACCAUCGUCACCGGCGUGACACCUUGAUCUCCAUCGUAGCAUCGUUGUCGUCUCGCCAAGCUUAUGCUUCCACGACUAUCACUACCGCUUAGUAAUAAAGUAAAGCAUUACAUCGCGAUUUCAUUGCAUACAAUAAAACGACAACCAUAAGGCUCCUGCUAGUUGCCGAUAACUCGGUUACAAAACAUGAUCAUCUCAUACAACAAAAUUCAGCAUCAUGUCUUGACCAUAUCACAUCACAACAUGCCCUGCAAAAACAAGUUAGACGUCCUCUACUUUGUUGUUGCAAGUUUUACGUGGCUGCUACGGGCUUAAGCAAGAACCAAUCUCACCUACGCAUCAAAGCCACAAUGAUAGUUUGUCAAAUAGACUCCGUUUUAACCUUCGCAAGGACCGGGCGUAGCCAUACUUGGUUCAACUAAAGUUGGAGAGACAGUUGCCCGCAAGCCACCUAUGUGCAAAGCACGUCGGGGAAACCGGUCUCGCGUAAGCGUACGCGUAAUGUUGGUCCAGGUCGUCUCGUCCAACAAUGCCGCCAAACCAAAGUAUGACAUGCUGGUAGGCAGUAUGACUUAUAUCGCCCACAACUCACUUGUGUUCUACUCGUGCAUAUAACAUCAACAUAAAUAACCUAGGCUCGGAUGCCACUGUUGGGUUUCGUAGUAAGUUCAAAAAAUUUCCUACGCACACGCAAGAUCAUGUGAUGCAUAGCAACGAGAGGGGAGAGUGUUGUCUACGUACCCAACGCAGACUGACUGCGGAAGCGCUGACACAACAUAGAGGAAGUAGUCGUACGUCUUCACGAUCCAACCGAUCAAGCACCGAAACUACGGCACCUCCGAGUUCGAGCACACGUUCAGCUCGAUGACGAUCCCCGGACUCCGAUCCAGCAAAGUGUCGGGGAAGAGUUCCGUCAGCACGAGGGCGUGGUGACGAUCUUGAUGCACUACAGCAGCAGGGCUUCGCCUAAACUCCGCUACAGUAUUAUCGAGGACUAUGGUGGCAGGGGGCACCGCACACGGCUAAGGAAUAGAUCACGUGGAUCAACUUGUGUGUUUCUGGGGUGCCUCUGCCUCAGUAUAUAAAGGACUAGAGGGGGGAGGCUGGCUGGCCAUAGGAGGCGCGCCAGGAGAGUCCUACUCCUUCUGGGAGUAGGAUUCCCCCCCCCCAAUCCUAGUUGGAAUAGGACUCCUUGAGGGGGGAAAGAGAGAGAGGGGGGCCGGCCACCUCUCCUAGUCCUAAUAGGACUAGGGGAAGAGGGGAGGCGCCCGGCCACCUUGGGCUGCCCCUUUCUCCUUUCCACUAAGGCCCAUCAAGGCCCAUAUGGUUCCUGGGGGGUUCCGGUAACCUCCCGGUACUCCGGUAAAAUCCCGAUUUCACCCGGAACACUUCCGAUAUCCAAACAUAGGCUUCCAAUAUAUCAAUCUUUAUGUCUCGACCAUUUCGAGACUCCUCGUCAUGUCCAUGAUCACAUCCGGGAUUCCGAACAACCUUCGGUAUAUCAAAAUGCAUAAACUCAUAAUAUAACUGUCAUCGAAACCUUAAGCGUGCGGACCCUACGGGUUCGAGAACAAUGUAGACAUGACCAAGACACGUCUCCGGUCAAUAACCAAUAACGGGACCUGGAUGCCCAUAUUGGCUCCUAUAUAUUCUACGAAGAUCUUUAUCGGUCAGACCGCAUAACAACAUAUGUUGUUCCCUUUGUCAUCGGUAUGUUACUUGCCCGAGAUUCGAUCGUCGGUAUUCCAAUACCUAGUUCAAUCUCGUUACCGGCAAGUCUCUUUACUCGUUCUGUAAUACAUCAUCCCGCAACUAACUCAUCUAGUUGAAAUGCUUGCAAGGCUUAAGUGAUGUGCAUUACCGAGAGGGCCCAGAGAUACCUCUCCGACAAUCGGAGUGACAAAUCCUAAUCUCGAAAUACGCCAACCCAACAUCUACCUUUGGAGACACCUGUAAUGCUCCUUUAUAAUCACCCAGUUACGUUGUGACGUUUGGUAGCACCCAAAGUGUUCCUCCGGCAAAUGGGAGUUGCAUAAUCUCAUAGUCAUAGGAACAUGUAUAAGUCAUGAAGAAAGCAAUAGCAACACACUAAACGAUCGGGUGCUAAGCUAAUGGAAUGGGUCAUGUCAAUCAGAUCAUUCAACUAAUGAUGUGACCUCGUUAAUCAAAUAACAACUCUUUGUUCAUGGUUAGGAAACAUAACCAUCUUUGAUUAACGAACUAGUCAAGUAGAGGCAUACUAGUGACACUCUAUUUGUCUAUGUAUUCACACAUGUAUUAUGUUUCCGGUUAAUACAAUUCUAGCAUGAAUAAUAAACAUUUAUCAUGAUUAUAAGGAAAUAUAUAAUAACUUUAUUAUUGCCUCUAGGGCAUAUUUCCUUCAGUUUCGUUCGUUCAUAUCGUUACCUCAUCAUUCAUUUUGUUCGUUACCCUCCUCCCUAACUGCUUGAUUUACCUCGAAGACUCCUCCUCCUAACGAUUCUUUCCCAGUUUUCAACCCUUUUUUGCUAGCUGACAGAAAGAGUCACUCCACAGUCCACAUGAAUCCUCUCUCCCUCGAUCUCUCUCUGAGUCUCAGCCCUGUCUCUUCUAGCGCUCCCCGUCCCAGGGGCCCUGACUCCCGACGCAUCCAACCGCACAAGGCGCUUGUGCCCGCUGUGUUGGGUUUCGUAGUAAUUUCAAAAAAAAUUCCUACGCACACACAGGAUCAUGUGAUGCAUAGCAACGAGGGGAGAGUAUUGUCUACGUACCCAACGCAGACCGACUGCGGAAGCGAUGACACGACGUAGAGGAAGUAGUUGUACGUCUUCUCGAUCCAACCGAUCAAGCACCGAAACUACGGCACCUCCGAGUUCGAGCACACGUUCAGCUCGAUGACGAUCCCCGGACUCCGAUCCAGCAAAGUGUCGGAGAAGAGUUUCAUCAGCACGACGACGUGGUGACGAUCUUGAUGAACUACAGCAGCAGGGCUUCGCCUAAACUCCGCUACAGUAUUAUCGAGGAAUAUGGUGGCAGGGGGCACCGCACACGGCUAAGGAAUCGAUCACGUGGAUCAACUUGUGUCAACUUGUGUGUUUAGAGGUGCCCCUGCCUCCGUAUAUAAAGGAGCCAAGGGGGGAGGGGGCGCCGGCCAAGAGGGAGAGGCGCAGGAGGAGUCCUACUCCUACCGGGAGUAGGACUCCCCCCCCCAAUCCUAUUCCAACUAGGAUUCCCAAGGGGGAAAGAGGGAGAGGGGUGGCCGGCCACUUCUCCUAGUCCUAAUAGGACUAGGGGAAGGGGGGAGGCGCGCAGCCCCCUUGGGCUGCCCCUUUCUCCUUUCCACUAAGGCCCAUGAUGGCCCAUAUGGUUCCCGGGGGGUUCCGGUAACCCUCCCGGUAUUCCGGUAAAAUCCCGAUUUCACCCGGAACACUUCCGAUAUCCAAAUAUAGGCUUCCAAUAUAUCAAUCUUUACGUCUCGACCAUUUUGAGACUCCUCGUCAUGUCUGUGAUCACAUCCGGGACUCCGAACAACCUUCGGUACAUCAAAAUGCAUAAACUCAUAAUAUAACUGUCAUCGUAACCUUAAGCGUGCGGACCCUAUGGGUUCGAGAACAAUGUAGACAUGACCGAGACACGUCUCCGGUCAAUAACCAAUAGCGGGACCUGGAUGCCCAUAUUGGCUCCGACAUAUUCUACGAAGAUCUUUAUCGGUCAGACCGCAUAACAACAUACGUUGUUCCCUUUGUCAUCGGUAUGUUACUUGCCCGAGAUUUGAUCGUCGGUAUCCAAUACCUAGUUCAAUCUCGUUACUGGCAAGUCUCUUUACUCGUUCCGUAAUACAUCAUCUCACAACUAACAUAUUAGUUGUAAUGCUUGCAAGGCUUAUGUGAUGUGUAUUACCGAGAGGGCCCAGAGAUACCUCUCCGACAAUCGGAGUGACAAAUCCUAAUCUCGAAAUACGCCAACCCAACAUCGACCAUUGGAGACACCUGUAGUACUCCUUUAUAAUCACCCAGUUACGUUGUGACGUUUGGUAGUACCCAAAGUGUUCCUCCGGUAAACGGGAGUUGCAUAAUCUCAUAGUCAUAGGAACAUGUAUAAGUCAUGAAGAAAGCAAUAUCAACAUACUAAACGAUCGGGUGCUAAGCUAAUGGAAUGGGUCAUGUCAAUCAGAUCAUUCUACUAAUGAUGUGACCUCGUUAAUCAAAUAACAACUCAUUGUUCAUGGUUAGGAAACAUAACCAUCUUUGAUUAACGAGCUAGUCAAGUAGAGGCAUACUAGUGACACUUUGUUUGUCUAUGUAUUCACACAUGUAUUAUGUUUCCGGUGAAUACAAUUCUAGCAUGAAUAAUAAACAUUUAUCAUGAUUAUAAGGAAAUAAAUAAUAACUUUAUUAUUGCCUCUAGGGCAUAUUUCCUUCAGUCUCCCACUUGCACUAGAGUCAAUAAUCUAGAUUACACUGUAAUGAUUCUAACACCCAUGGAGCUUUGGUGUUGAUCAUGUUUUGCUCGUGGAAGAGGCUUAGUCAACGGGUCUGCAACAUUCAGAUCCGUAUGUAUCUUGCAAAUCUCUAUGUCUCCCACCUGGACUAGAUCCCGGAUGGAGUUGAGGCGUCUCUUGAUGUGUUUGGUCCUUUUGUGAAAUCUGGAUUCCUUUGCCAAGGCAAUUGCACCAGUAUUGUCACAAAAGAUUUUCAUUGGACCCGAUGCACUAGGUAUGACACCUAGAUCGGAUAUGAACUCCUUCAUCCAGACUCCUUCAUUUGCUGCUUCCGAAGCAGCUAUGUAUUCCGCUUCACAUGUAGAUCCCGCUACGACGCUUUGUUUAGAACUGCACCAACUGACAGCUCCACCGUUUAAUGUAAACACGUAUCCGGUUUGCGAUUUAGAAUCGUCUAGAUCAGUGUCAAAGCUUGCAUCAACGUAACCUUUUACGGUGAGCUCUUUGUCACCUCCAAAUACGAGAAACAUAUCCUUAGUCCUUUUCAGGUAUUUCAGGAUGUUCUUGACCGCUGUCCAGUGAUCCACUCCUGGAUUACUUUGGUACCUCCCUGCUAAACUUAUAGCAAGGCACAUAUCAGGUCUGGUACACAGCAUUGCAUACAUGAUAGAGCCUAUGGCUGAUGCAUAGGGAACAUCUUUCAUAUUCUCUCUAUCUACUGCAGUGGUCGGGCAUUGAGUCUUACUCAAUUUCACACCUUGUAACACAGGCAAGAACCCUUUCUUUGCUUGAUCCAUUUUGAACUUCUUCAAAAUUUUGUCAAGGUAUGUGCUUUGUGAAAGUCCAGUUAAGCGUUUUGAUCUAUCUCUAUAGAUCUUAAUGCCUAAUAUGUAAGCAGCUUCACCGAGGUCUUUCAUUGAAAAACUUUUAUUCAAGUAUCCCUUUAUGCUAUCCAGAAAUUCUAUAUCAUUUCCAAUCAGUAAUAUGUCAUCCACAUAUAAUAUCAGAAAUGCUACAGAGCUCCCACUCACUUUCUUGUAAAUACAGGCUUCUCCGAAAGUCUGUAUAAAACCAAAUGCUUUGAUCACACUAUCAAUACGUUUAUUCCAACUCCGAGAGGCUUGCACCAGUCCAUAAAUGGAUCGCUGGAGCUUGCACACUUUGUUAGCUCCCUUUGGAUCGACAAAACCUUCUGGUUGCAUCAUAUACAACUCUUCUUCCAGAAAUCCAUUUAGGAAUGCAGUUUUGACGUCCAUUUGCCAAAUUUCAUAAUCAUAAAAUGCGGCAAUUGCUAACAUGAUUCGGACGGACUUAAGCAUCGCUACGGGUGAGAAGGUCUCAUCGUAGUCAAUUCCUUGAACUUGCCGAAAACCUUUUGCGACAAGUCGAGCUUUGUAGACAGUAACAUUUCCAUCAGUGUCAGUCUUCUUCUUAAAGAUCCAUUUAUUCUCAAUUGCUUGCCGAUCAUCGGGCAAGUCAACCAAAGUCCAUACUUUGUUCUCAUACAUGGAUCCCAUCUCAGAUUUCAUGGCUUCAAGCCACUUUGCGGAAUCUGGGCUCACCAUCGCUUCUUCAUAGUUCGUAGGUUCAUCAUGAUCUAGUAGCAUGACCUCCAGAACAGGAUUACCGUACCACUCUGGUGCGGAUCUUACUCUGGUUGAUCUACGAGGUUCAGCAGUAUCUUGAUCUGAAGUUUCAUGAUCAUUAUCAUUGGCUUCCUCACUAACUGGUGUAGGUGUCACUGAAACAGUUUUCUGUGAUGAACUACUUUCCAGUAAGGGAGCAGGUACAGUUACCUCGUCAAGUUCUACUUUCCUCCCACUCACUUCUUUCGAGAGAAACUCCUUCUCUAGAAAUGAUCCAUUCUUAGCAACAAAUGUCUUGCCUUCGGAUCUGUGAUAGAAGGUGUACCCAACAGUUUCCUUUGGGUAUCCUAUGAAGACAGAUUUCUCCGAUUUGGGUUCGAGCUUAUCAGGUUGAAGCUUUUUCACAUAAGCAUCGCAGCCCCAAACUUUAAGAAACGACAACUUUGGUUUCUUGCCAAACCACAGUUCAUAAGGCGUCGUCUCAACGGAUUUUGAUGGUGCCCUAUUUAACGUGAAUGCGGCCGUCUCUAAAGCAUAUCCCCAAAAAGAUAGCGGUAAAUCAGUAAGAGACAUCAUAGAUCGCACCAUAUCUAGUAAAGUACGAUUACGACGUUCAGACACACCAUUACGCUGUGGUGUUCCGGGUGGCGUGAGUUGCGAAACUAUUCCACAGUUUUUCAAAUGUAUACCAAACUCGUAACUCAAAUAUUCUCCUCCACGAUCAGAUCGUAGAAACUUUAUUUUCUUGUUACAAUGAUUUUCAACUUCACUCUGAAAUUCUUUGAACUUUUCAAAUGUUUCAGACUUAUGUUUCAUUAAGUAGAUAUACCCAUAUCUGCUUAAAUCAUCUGUGAAGGUGAGAAAAUAACGAUAUCCGCCACGAGCCUCAAUAUUCAUCGGGCCACAUACAUCGGUAUGUAUGAUUUCCAACAAAUCUGUUGCUCUCUCCAUAGUACCGGAGAACGGUGUUUUAGUCAUCUUGCCCAUAAGGCACGGUUCGCAAGUACCAAGUGAUUCAUAAUCAAGUGGUUCCAAAAGUCCAUCAGCAUGGAGUUUCUUCAUGCGCUUUAUACCGAUAUGACCUAAACGACAGUGCCACAAAUAAGUUGCACUUUCGUUAUCAACUCUGCAUCUUUUGGCUUCAACAUUAUGAAUAUGUGUAUUACUACUAUCGAGAUUCAAUAAGAAUAGACCACUCUUCAAGGGUGCAUGACCAUAAAAGAUAUUACUCAUAUAAAUAGAACAACAAUUAUUCUCUGAUUUAAAUGAAUAACCGUCUCGCAUUAAACAAGAUCCAGAUAUAAUGUUCAUGCUCAACGCUGGCACCAAAUAACAAUUAUUUAGGUCUAAUAUUAAUCCCGAAGGUAGAUGUAGAGGUAGCGUGCCGACUGCGAUCACAUUGACUUUGGAACCGUUUCCCACGCGCAUCGUCACCUCGUCCUUUGCCAGUGCCCGCUUAUUCUUUAGUCCCUGUUUCGAGUUGCAAAUAUUAGCAACAGAACCAGUAUCAAAUACCCAGGUGCUACUGCGAGCUCUAGUAAGGUACACAUCAAUAACAUGUAUAUCACAUAUACCUUUGUUCACCUUGCCAUCCUUCUUAUCCGCCAAAUACUUGGGGCAGUUCCGCUUCCAGUGACCAAUCUGCUUGCAGUAGAAGCACUCAGUUUCAGGCUUAGGUCCAGACUUGGGUUUCUUCUCUUGAGCAGCAACUUGCUUGCCGUUCUUCUUGAAGUUCCCCUUUUUCUUCCCUUUGCCCUUUUUCUUGAAACUAGUGGUCUUGUUAACCAUCAACACUUGAUGCUCCUUCUUGAUUUCUACCUCCGCAGCUUUCAGCAUUGCGAAGAGCUCGGGAAUAGUCUUGUUCAUCCCUUGCAUAUUAUAGUUCAUCACGAAGCUCUUGUAGCUUGGUGGCAGUGAUUGGAGAAUUCUGUCAAUGACGCAAUCAUCCGGAAGAUUAACUCCCAAUUGAAUCAAGUGAUUAUUAUACCCAGACAUUUUGAGUAUAUGCUCACUGACAGAACUGUUCUCCUCCAUCUUGCAGCUAUAGAACUUAUUGGAGACUUCAUAUCUCUCAAUUCGGGCAUUUGCUUGAAAUAUUAACUUCAACUCCUGGAACAUCUCAUAUGCUCCAUGACGUUCAAAAUGUCGUUGAAGUCCCGAUUCUAAGCCGUAAAGCAUGGCACACUGAACUAUCGAGUAGUCAUCAGCUUUGCUCUGCCAGACGUUCAUAACAUCUGGUGUUGCUCCAGCAGCAGGCCUGGCACCCAGCGGUGCUUCCAGGACGUAAUUUUUCUGUGCAGCAAUGAGGAUAAUCCUCAAGUUACGGACCCGGUCCGUGUAAUUGCUACCAUCAUCUUUCAACUUUGCUUUCUCAAGGAACGCAUUAAAAUUCAACGGAACAACAGCACGAGCCAUCUAUCUACAAUCAACAUAAACAAGCAAGAUACUAUCAGGUACUAAGUUCAUGAUAAAUUUAAGUUCAAUUAAUCAUAUUAUUUAAGAACUCCCACUUAGAAAGACAUCCCUCUAAUCCUCUAAGUGAUUACGUGAUCCAAAUCAACUAAACCAUGACCGAUCAUCACGUGAGAUGGAGUAGUUUUCAAUGGUGAACAUCGUUAUGUUGAUCAUAUCUACUAUAUGAUUCACGCUCGACCUUUCGGUCUCCGUGUUCCGAGGCCAUAUCUGCAUAUGCUAGGCUCGUCAAGUUUAACCUGAGUAUUCUGCGUGUGCAAAACUGGCUUGCACCCGUUGUAGAUGGACGUAGAGCUUAUCACACCCGAUCAUCACGUGGUGUCUGGGCAUGACGAACUUUGGCAACGGUGCAUACUCAGGGAGAACACUUCUUGAUAAUUUAGUGAGAGAUCAUCUUAUAAUGCUACCGUCAAUCAAAGCAAGAUAAGAUGCAUAAAAAGAUAAACAUCACAUGCAAUCAAUAUAAGUGAUAUGAUAUGGUCAUCAUCAUCUUGUGCUUGUGAUCUCCAUCUCCGAAGCACCUUCAUGAUCACCAUCGUCACCGGCGCGACACCUUGAUCUCCAUCGUAGCAUCGUUGUCGUCUCGCCAAUCUUAUGCUUCCACGACUAUCACUACCGUUUAGUAAUAAAGUAAAGCAUUACAUCGCGAUUGCAUUGCAUACAAUAAAGCGACAACCAUAUGGCUCCUGCCAGUUGCCGAUAACCCGGUUACAAAACAUGAUCAUCUCAUACAAUAAAAUUCAGCAUCAUGCUUUGACCAUAUCACAUCACAACAUGCCCUGCAAAAACAAGUUAGACGUCCUCUACUUUGUUGUUGCUUGUUUUACGUGGCUGCUACGGGCUUAAGUAAGAACCAAUCUCACCUACGCAUCAAAACCACAAUGAUAGUUUAUCAAAUAGACUCCGUUUUAACCUUCGCAAGGACCGGGCGUAGCCAUACUUGGUUCAACUAAAGUUGGAGAGACAGUCGCCCGCAAGCCAUCUCUGUGCAAAGCACGUCGAGGGAACCGGUCUCGCGUAAGCGUACGCGUAAGGUUGGUCUGGGUCGUCUCGUCCAACAAUACCGCCGAACCAAAGUAUGACAUGCUGGUAGGCAGUAUGACUUGUAUCGUCCACAACUCACUUGUGUUCUACUUGUGCAUAUAACAUCAACAUAAAUAACCUAGGCUCGGAUACCACUGUUGGGUUUCGUAGUAAUUUCAAAAAAAUUCCUACGCACACACAGGAUCAUGUGAUGCAUAGCAACGAGGGGAGAGUAUUGUCUACGUACCCAAUGCAGACCGACUGCGGAAGCGAUGACACGACGUAGAGGAAGUAGUUGUACGUCUUCUCGAUCCAACCGAUCAAGCACCGAAACUACGGCACCUCCGAGUUCGAGCACACGUUCAGCUCGAUGACGAUCCCCGGACUCCGAUCCAGCAAAGUGUCGGAGAAGAGUUUCGUCAGCACGACGGCGUGGUGACGAUCUUGAUGAACUACAGCAGCAGGGCUUCGCCUAAACUCCGCUACAGUAUUAUCGAGGAAUAUGGUGGCAGGGGGCACCGCACACGGCUAAGGAAUCGAUCACGUGGAUCAACUUGUGUCAACUUGUGUGUUUAGAGGUGCCCCUGCCUCCGUAUAUAAAGGAGCCAAGGGGGAGGGGGCGCCGGCCAAGAGGGAGAGGCGCAGGAGGAGUCCUACUCCUACCGGGAGUAGGACUCCCCCCCCCAAUCCUAUUCCAACUAGGAUUCCCAAGGGGGAAAGAGGGAGAGGGGUGGCCGGCCACUUCUCCUAGUCCUAAUAGGACUAGGGGAAGGGGGGAGGCGCGCAGCCCCCUUGGGCUGCCCCUUUCUCCUUUCCACUAAGGCCCAUGAUGGCCCAUAUGGUUCCCGGGGGGUUCCGGUAACCCUCCCGGUAUUCUGGUAAAAUCCCGAUUUCACCCCGAACACUUCCGAUAUCCAAAUAUAGGCUUCCAAUAUAUCAAUCUUUACGUCUCGACCAUUUCGAGACUCCUCGUCAUGUCCGUGAUCACAUCCGGGACUCCGAACAACCUUCGGUACAUCAAAAUGCAUAAACUCAUAAUAUAACUGUCAUCGUAACCUUAAGCGUGCGGACCCUACGGGUUCGAGAACAAUGUAGACAUGACCGAGACACGUCUCCGGUCAAUAACCAAUAGCGGGACCUGGAUGCCCAUAUUGGCUCCUACAUAUUCUACAAAGAUCUUUAUCGGUCAGACCGCAUAACAACAUACGUUGUUCCCUUUGUCAUCGGUAUGUUACUUGCCCGAGAUUUGAUCGUCGGUAUCCAAUACCUAGUUCAAUCUCGUUACUGGCAAGUCUCUUUACUCGUUCCGUAAUACAUCAUCUCACAACUAACAUAUUAGUUGUAAUGCUUGCAAGGCUUAUGUGAUGUGUAUUACCGAGAGGGCCCAGAGAUACCUCUCCGACAAUCGGAGUGACAAAUCCUAAUCUCGAAAUACGCCAACCCAACAUCGGCCAUUGGAGACACCUGUAGUACUCCUUUAUAAUCACCCAGUUACGUUGUGACGUUUGGUAGUACCCAAAGUGUUCCUCCGGUAAACGGGAGUUGCAUAAUCUCAUAGUCAUAGGAACAUGUAUAAGUCAUGAAGAAAGCAAUAGCAACAUACUAAACGAUCGGGUGCUAAGCUAAUGGAAUGGGUCAUGUCAAUCAGAUCAUUCUACUAAUGAUGUGACCUCGUUAAUCAAAUAACAACUCAUUGUUCAUGGUUAGGAAACAUAACCAUCUUUGAUUAACGAGCUAGUCAAGUAGAGGCAUACUAGUGACACUUUGUUUGUCUAUGUAUUCACACAUGUAUUAUGUUUCCGGUAAAUACAAUUCUAGCAUGAAUAAUAAACAUUUAUCAUGAUUAUAAGGAAAUAAAUAAUAACUUUAUUAUUGCCUCUAGGGCAUAUUUCCUUCACGCUGCCCCUUUCGUCCAUGUCCGUGAGGAGAAUCCCUACAGUAUGCAUGUAUUUUGUUAAUCCCCUCUUAUAUUAUUUAAAUCUCAGCAAGACAACCACGUAUGAGGCAGGAACUGUAGCGUCCAUUGUCUUCUAUAUCUGCUUGCAUUAACUUUCCAUUACUAUUAGCCUGUGGGAUAUAUGAUGCGAGGGAACGAACAUGCCAUAAGGCACAGGUGAGUCCCUUGGGUGCUCUUUGCAUUACUAUUCUUCUUAUUCGGCUGAUUUUGAUCUUCUUAAUCUUUUUCUCAUUAAUAACGUUUGUAGUUUGUGAGAUCUUUCUCUGACCACAUACAAGCCUAUGCUCCACCAUCCCAUUCUUUGUUAUUUUAUUUCCAACUUUAAGACAAUUUUAUCUUUCAAACCAAAAGUACAAUUUAUCAUCCGUUUGCAUAUUGUGAUUAUGACGAGGAGAACUUCAAAACAAUACCACUUUUGAAUGUGUUUCAACAUGUUCUAAAAAAAUCAAAUUCUAAAGCAGAAUGAAACACUAUUAAAAGUUCAAAGUUUUGUUUGAAUAUCUCAUUAUUGAAUUGUUGCAUCAAAUUAUUAAAUUUAUAUGAAACAAGUUUGAAGCAUAUAUGAGUUUAUAUGAUAUAUGUUUUAUUAAUCUAUGUACACAAAGCCAAUGUUUUUAACAAAAAGAAAGAUUAUGCUUAUACUUCAUUAUGCAUCCUGUACAUAUAUAAUGGUAUAGAUAAUUCCAUUGCGUGUGAAUGAACGGCGCAUUGAGAAUGGCGCCAGAACAAAACCAUGGAAGCAAACUCCUUUUGCUUAUAUCACAAAUUUUGUGCCAUGGUGCAAAAAGAGAGCAAGUGCAUGUGUAUGUUCAGAUAUGAUGAAACCAAAUAAGGUUGCAACUAACAUGUUAUAUUGACUUUCAGUUAUGAACCUUAUGACUCUGAUGCUCUCAAGUUUGGCAACUGUUUGUACUAAGGGCCUGUUCGGCAAUGCUCCGGCUCUCAACUUCCAUUAACUCCGCAGUGAAGUUCAGGCGAACGAGCAAAUUCCUUGGAGCUCAAAUCAAGAAGCUUGCUAUUCUAUUAGUGCAAAUUUGAAGGAGUUGGGGAAGCUGCCUUUUCCUGGCUCUGUGAAAACGAAGAAGCUGGAGUUGAGCGUUAUUAUGAUUUGCUGCCAUCGCCAAGUGAGCUACGCGUACCGAUUCGCUUUGUCUCUCCCCCCAACAGCUCAUAUCUCCUCUCCGUAGCCUCUACAUCACGGUCGUUGUACAUUUUUUAAUUAGAAGAAAGGUGCCAUUGUAUGCCUACUGAGCUGGGCUUUGCUCCCUUCCCUCCCAAACGGGCUUCAGCCCAUCUAAAUGGGUUGUCAACCCAUGCCAGCGAUGAGAAGCAUGAGGUGCGCAGCCGAACAUUUUCCCAUCACUGUGAGAAACUAGAAAACCGAAGUGAGGAGUAGAAGUUGAGGAGUUUGGGAAGCUAGGCUGUUGCCGAACAGGCCCUAAAGAUAGGUUAAGUGUCUGAAGCUAUACUGGAAGAUGUAAUUAUUUCUCUCAGUUCGUAGUGCUUGACUAGAUGGCGUCUUCGUACGUAUAGCUUGAAUAGAUAUAACCAUGGACGUUUAAUUAUAAUAUGCAACGCUAGAUAUAUUUCUUUGUCUUGUCCUCGCUUAAUUUGUUGGUCCAGUGUAGAUUAGUAGUAUUCUACCACAUGGAAAUAUAUGCACGUCUAUUAUUAUUAUGUUCUUGUGACAAUCACAGAACCUUUACUGUAAUGCAUCAUUUAUGUGAACAUUAUAAUGCUUAUUUGUAAUGAUGAUCUAAUUCCGCAUGAUGAUCACAAAAAAGUAGCAGCUGGCAUCAUAGCCAUUUAUGUUGCUUNNNNNNNNNNNNNNNNNNNNNNNNNNNNNNNNNNNNNNNNNNNNNNNNNNNNNNNNNNNNNNNNNNNNNNNNNNNNNNNNNNNNNNNNNNNNNNNNNNNNNNNNNNNNNNNNNNNNNNNNNNNNNNNNNNNNNNNNNNNNNNNNNNNNNNNNNNNNNNNNNNNNNNNNNNNNNNNNNNNNNNNNNNNNNNNNNNNNNNNNNNNNNNNNNNNNNNNNNNNNNNNNNNNNNNNNNNNNNNNNNNNNNNNNNNNNNNNNNNNNNNNNNNNNNNNNNNNNNCGUUCGAACCAUCUCGAUGUUCUUCGCCAGCAUCGUCACAUCGAGCCUAUGUAUAUACUAUUGGAUCUUGAAGCCUGAAGUCAUUUUUUGUUCCCAUGAUUAUUUAGCAAAUGCAGAAAAUAUUGUCGAUUAUAUUAUAUGUAUAUUGUUGGGUAGUAGUUUUCCCCACUAGAACUGAAUAUUAGGAAGGAUAUAUCUUGUGGCUGGUCAGAUUUAGAAUCAUAUCGUAAUUUCUUAAGGGCCUAAUGAUUGUUGUUGUUUUUUCCUUUCAAAAAUUAAAACUCCUUGGUGAUUAUCGUAACUAUCAUAAUUGUACUAGCAAGAUUAUCAUAAUAACUAAGCAACUAUUUUAGACUCACUUUCUAUGCCAAGAUGGAAAAUUGAUAUGCCUUAUGAUUAUAUAUGCAACCAGUAUUUUUUUGAAAUGCCAGUGGCAACACAUUCGUUACAUGUUUUAAGACCUUCUGCGUGAAAUUUUCAUACUAACUACAUAUAUUGUUUGUGUAGGAAGGAUAUGAGUUGAGGAAGCGGUUUUUAUUAUACUUGCUAAAACAUCGUGGGAAUGAAGCUAAAGGCAACUUUCUUGAUAUUUAUGAAAGAAUUUCUUAAACGCAUCAUCUAGAUAUUGAUAGUUUUAUAAUAGAUGUUUAGUUGGAACAUCGCUCAGUUUGUUACAUGGACAUGUCGUUAAUCUUUCUUUUUAUUAUCAAUUUACAUUGCAAAAAUGAACUUUAAUUAUUCAAUAAUUGUGUUUGUGUUAUAUUGUUUGUACAUGUGAAAUUUAUCAUGCAACUCUUGCAUACUAUUUCAAGAGCCCGUGGCAACGCACGGGCACUCUACUAGUGACAAUGGUUAGUGACUUGGACACACGCUGAAGUGAUAAUUUUUUUUGAAAAACGAAUCUAUGUUGAAACUCCUAAGUUGUGACAAGUGUCGCGCAUGUAAUUCAUCACUUGUCACCAUCGAAGAAGGUAGGAGUGACCUUUGCAAAGGGCACUCCAUAACUAACUACUGAUUUCGAAACUCCCACGGGCAGUGGCGCGGCUAUGUCCCGCCAACCGUGAGGCAGUAGCUUGCUUCGCCUGAAGGCAGCCGAUUCAUGGGCUGGCCCAGUAUAGCAUUGACGUCACGCCCAAUUUUUCCUUUUGUUUAUCUACUAGUUCUAUUUUUAUUUUUAUUUUUAUUCUCAUUUUCCAUUUUUUUUCUUUUUUUUAAAAGUUUUUUAGGCAAUCUCACGAAGCUUUUAAUUUUUUAAGUGUUUACUCUUUUGUUUUUGAGGGGAUGAGGGGAUUCUAAGUUUUUUUUGGUAACUCUGAGGUGAUUCUAAGUUUUUUUUUGUUUGAGAACUCUGAGGGGAUUCUGAGUGUUGUUCAUUCGAACCGUACUCCUCGAGCCCAUCUAUUAUCCGAGCGAAGCCCACAGUGCCACGCUAUAUAAGCCAAGUGCCCCCAUAGGGUUUUCCAGCGGCGGAACAAACCCGAACGCAUCCUGUGGAUCACACCUUCUCGUCUCCCACCUCUCCGCCGGCGGCCAACUCCAACCAUGGCGGACACGAAGGCCAGCGCGGCGGUCACCCUCCGCACCCGCAAGUUCAUGACCAACCGCCUCCUCUCCCGGAAGCAAUUCGUACGCACCCUGCCCUCGUCACCGGGGCUCCCAGGAUCCAUCGCAUCUCUCAAAUCACUAACUCUUUCCGGCGCUCCACCUUUCACUUUCAGGUGCUUGAGGUGAUCCACCCCGGCAAGGCCAACGUCCCCAAGGCGAGACAUCGAUCACACAAAAUGGAGGCUGUUCAGGUGGCGAUCUAGCGAUCUCAUCGUCUGGGUUUCUCUGUGCAGGCGGAGCUCAAGGAUAAGCUGGCCAAGAUGUACGACGUGAAGGACGCCAACUGCAUCUUCGUGUUCAAGUUCCGCACGCAUUUCGGGGGCGGCAAGUCCACUGGAUUCGGUCUCAUCUACGACAACCUCGAAGCAGCCAAGAAGUUCGAGCCCAAGUACCGCCUGAUCAGGGUAUGUUGCCAUUGCGCUGAUUUAGUUAUGGAAUCAGAUGCUUUUUUAUCAGGCUCGAUCGUUCUUUGCCACGUGUAGUCCAGCCCUAAUCAUCAUUAGUAUCGCUAUCACAAUGUGUAGCAAUGCAUGCUAAUCUGCUAAAAGAAUAGUACUCCCUCCGUUCACUAUUAUAAGAUGUUCUAACUUUUUUAUAAAUCGGAUGUAUGUAGACACAUUUCAGUGUGUUUUUUCGCUCAUUUCAGUCUGUAUCUAGUCCAUAUUCAAAUAUUCAAAACAUUUUAUAAUAGUGAACGGCCUGAACGGAGGGAGUAGUAGUUAUUUGGCUUUCACUGCCUAGAUGUUUCAGGUUGGUCAUACUGUUUUCAUGUGCGUAUCUAGAUGACAAAUUUAUUGCUGCGGCACUAGAUUUCUUUGGGGCACUGCUGACUUGUUGUGAAUUGUGUUCCUGACUUGUUGUAUUCUGUGCCUCCUGUUUGCAACAGCAUAGUGACUGCCAUGCAUCAUAGAUUUAUAUUAUGGUAUGGUGUCUGUGAUGUUCAGAAACAAAUUUAUGGAUGGGGGAUACAUGUGCAUAAUUUUGUAUCAUGUUUUCUUGCAUUGAACCGCUCUGUGUUCUGUUGUCUCCACAUUUUAGUUAAAGCCCAUACAGAUGUAGAGUGCGGAUAUUCCAUUUAACGCAAAUUUGCAACACUAAAAAGAGUAAUCAUCAAUUAGGUAAGUCUCAAUCUCCUAGGACUAGUAUAUAUGCGGCAACAACAAUUAGGUCUGAUAUUCCUUUGUUGAUCGAUGGUGUUAAAGAGUAAUACAUGACAAUAAAAAAAGGCAUGUAAAUAUUUAGUUACGCAGUUUUUAAUUGAUGUUGCUGGAUUUGUAAUUGUUAUGAAGAGGAAUAAAACAGCUGUUGGUGUGUUUGGUUCUGAAUUUUCAAUGCAUGGUGGUAUUUAUUUUUAUAUUCUGCCACGAAUGUUAUUCCUGUAACUAAAUAAUUUCCUCUGUUCCCUUUCCCAGAAUGGUCUUGCUACUAAGGUUGAAAAGUCUCGCAAGCAAAUUAAGGAGCGUAAGAACAGAUCUAAGAAGAUCCGUGGUGUCAAGAAGGUGAGUUACUUAUGCAUGGUCUGUUGGCUACUUUCUAGUGCUCACUAUGAUCGUUUGUGUUGAUAUUUUUGGCUUGUGCAGACCAAGGCUGAUGCCGGGAAGAAGAAGAAGUAAACAUUCAUUCACAUUAGAUCUACACUCUCGGCGGUUUAGUGGCGGCGGCAUCAUUAUGUCCUUAUUAGUUUUUUUCUCCUCCUCACUGAAGUGAGGUUUUUCUCGUUCCUGGAUGUGAACCUAGCUGGUUUGGAAUAACGCCUUUUGACAUUUACAUCCAUGCUUAGAGGUUAGAGCUAAAGUGUUCAUGAAAACUUUAACAAGGCAGCUUUCUCGUCCAAAUUAGUGUGUGAUAUGCAGUUUCUUUUGUUGUCUGUCCACUCCAUUUAUGCACUUGUUCAUUUUGAUUAUGCACUUUCUCCCUGCAUGCUUAAUUGAAGUCGU
rnacentral:lncRNA from 1 species